rnacentral:rRNA from 1 species
AGUGAACGCUGGCGGCAGGCCUAACACAUGCAAGUCGAACGAGUGGCGGACGGGUGAGGAAUACAUCGGAAUCUACUUUGUGGUGGGGGAUAACGUAGGGAAACUUACGCUAAUACCGCAUACGAUUGAAUGAGCCGAGGUCGGAUUAGCUAGUUGUCGGGGUAAAGGCCCACCAAGGCGACGAUCCGUAGCUGGUCUGAGAGGAUGAACAGCCACACUGGAACUGAGACACGGUCCAGACUCCUACGGGAGGCAGCAGUGGGGAAUAUUGGACAAUGGGCGCAAGCCUGAUCCAGCCAUGCCGCGUGUGUGAAGAAGGCCUUCGGGUUGUAAAGCCCUUUUGUUGGGAAAGCGUUACCCACAGAAUAAGCACCGGCUAACUUCGUGCCAGCAGCCGCGGUAAUUC